AGCAGUCGCCGCGGUAACACGUAGGGUGCAAGCGUUAAUCGGAUUUACUGGGCGUAAAGCGCACGUAGGCGGCUUUGUAAGUUAGAGGUGAAAGCCUGGAGCUCAACUCCAGAAUUGCCUUUAAGACUGCAUCGCUUGAAUCCGGGAGAGGUGAGUGGAAUUCCGAGUGUAGAGGUGAAAUUCGUAGAUAUUCGGAAGAACACCAGUGGCGAAGGCGGCUCACUGGACCGGCAUUGACGCUGAGGUGCGAAAGCGUGGGGAGCAAACAGGAUUAGAGACCCCAGUAGUCCCUGUCUCUUAUAC
rnacentral:rRNA from 1 species